CAGUUCAGAUUGCAGGCUGCAACUCGCCUGCAUGAAGUCGGAAUUGCUAGUAAUCGUAGGUCAGCAUACUACGGUGAAUACGUUCCCGGGCCUUGUACACACCGCCCGUCACACCAUGGGAGCCGGUAAUACCCGAAGUCAGUAGUCCAACCUCGUGAGGACGCUGCCGAAGGUAGGAUUGGCGACUGGGGUGAAGUCGUAACAAGGUACC
rnacentral:rRNA from 1 species